GGCUAGUAUUCCAAAGGUCGUAGGUUCGAAUCCCACCGUGGCCGGGCAUAUUUUUCAAGCUCGCCCGGUGUGGAUAUACACUCAGAGUAACACCACAAAUAUCAUAUUCACCUGUGUACACUACACCCACACAGAAAAAAAAUCUUUUAUCUUUUAUGUAAAUAUUUAGAUUUUGUUUUUAUAUUAUUGUUAUGCGCAUGUGAGCAUAUUUGAAUGGAACUUGCGCAAUACAAAUUAAGUUAUUAUUAUUAAUUAUUAUUAUUUAUCAG